rnacentral:rRNA from 1 species
AUUGAACGCUGGCGGCAGGCCUAACACAUGCAAGUCGAGCGGAUGAAGGGAGCUUGCUCCUGGAUUCAGCGGCGGACGGGUGAGUAAUGCCUAGGAAUCUGCCUGGUAGUGGGGGAUAACGUCCGGAAACGGGCGCUAAUACCGCAUACGUCCUGAGGGAGAAAGUGGGGGAUCUUCGGACCUCACGCUAUCAGAUGAGCCUAGGUCGGAUUAGCUAGUUGGUGGGGUAAAGGCCUACCAAGGCGACGAUCCGUAACUGGUCUGAGAGGAUGAUCAGUCACAGUGGGAGUGAGACGGGGACAAGACUGAGACGGGAGGCAGAGGGGAGGAGAAUGAGACAAGGGGAGAAGGUAUAAUCAGCAGAGGGUGAGUGGGAGAAGAAGGUCGUAGGAUGGUAAAGCAUUUGAAGGUGGGGGGAGGGGAAGUAAGUUAAGACGUUGUUGGUUAGACGAUACCAACAGAAGAAGCACCGGCAAACGGAGUAACAGAAGCCGUGGAAAUAAUCGGAAGAGCAAAUGUCUGAAC